rnacentral:ncRNA from 1 species
GAGAGCUGUCUGCGGGGAAACUUGCAAGUACAGUUUGGUGGGAGGCGUAUGGGCCCUUGGGACCAAGGACUGGCCGUCGACCCAAC